UUCCGAAAAUACCCGCACGAAAGCUGGAGAAUCCCUUGACGAUUCGCAGAUUUAUUUCCACCGUGCAAAACCCGUCUUCUCCACCAAAUUGGUGACCUCACACUCAAAAAGCCCCCAAAUCAACCUCUUCUCCCUCUCUCUCUCUCUCUCUCUGCAAAAAUCUAGGGUUUCUCAGAUCGAACUCAAAAACCCUAGUUUCCCCUGGAACUUGAUCUAGGGUUCGGUUCGAUUCUGCAAAUUGUUAGGGUGGUUUGGAGGAGCUCUGGGCGGUUAGGAUUUUGUUGUGAAUUGUGUGAAAGGUGGGUUAUUUUUUGGGUGUUUGUUUAUUUUUUAUUUUUUGGGAGGGGAGGUGAUGGCGGAGGAGGAGUACGAGAGUGAUCCAGAGGAGGCGAAGCUGUCACUGGCCAUGCGGAGGAGGGAGGCCAGCGAUGAUGAGGAAGAGGGCGGUGAGGUUGAUGCAGAGAGGUUUCCGCCUAGGAGGAUUGAUUCGAGGGUGGGAGUUGUGUCGGACGGAGAGUCGGAUGGGCAGGGUGGAGUGGCGGAGUACGAUGAUGACGAGCAAGAGGAGGAUGAUGAGGAAGAUAUUGAAGACGAAAUUUCUCAAGAGGAAGAGGAGGAGGAGGAGGAUGGGGUAGAGGAGGAGGAGGAGGAGGAAGCGGAGGAGGAGGAUGAGUUUGAGGAGAGAGGAGAAGGUGGUGGUGGUGAUGGUGAUGGUGAUGGUCGUGGAGGCAGCUUUGGUGACGUGGAGGGUGUGGAGAAGGUGAAGGAAUUGGAUGGCGUGAGGGGAGUGGCUGGUGAGCCAGUGACAGAGAGUGGUGGGGCAGAGCAGGGUUUAGAGGAGGAGGAGGAGGAGAAGAAAGAGAAUGAACCGUUUGCGGUGCCAACGGCAGGUGCAUUUUACAUGCAUGAUGAUCGGUUCAGAGACAAUGCUGGUGGCCGUCACAGGCGAACUCUUGGUGGAAGGAAGCUGUGGGAGUCCAAGGAUGACAGAAAAUGGGGGCAUGACAAGUUUGAGGAGAUGUCUUUGCAGGAAAGGCAUUAUGAAGAGGGUAAGAGAAUUUCUAAAGGUAAUUAUCGAGCUCGUGGUAGAAAUCGUGGUGUAGAACGGGGAUAUUCAAGAGGAAACAGGACUAAAGUGUACCCCAACAAUAACAAUCAGGGCCAUGCACCUAAGGGUGUGAGAGGGCGGGGCCCCAGACGAUAUGAACCUCCUCCAAAAAACUACAGUGAUGCUUCCCAAACACAAAACAGACAAACUGGAAGGUCUCUUGACAAAUCUUCACAAACUAGCUCACAAAGAGGGUCAAUGUCCACAUCAAAUGUAGAGCCUGAUUCAAUUCCAGCCAGAAAACAAAUGUUUGCAUCAAGUUUGAGUUCAGCUUCUCCCCCCUUUUAUCCUUCUGGCUCUUCCAAUAAGGAAAUCAUCCUAACACAGAAAAGGGAUCUACAAGCUGGAGUUGCCAGCAGAAAUCCUCGGACUCAGGUUAUGGAUGAGAGUUUCUCUGUGCCACAAUCUAGUGCAUUGUUGCGAGGGAAGAAUAUUGCUGAUGCCAUUAGCAUGGACAAGCUACGUAUUGAUGAUUCUGUUCCACCUCUUCCUGGAAAGCCUUCAACGAACAUACAAUUGCCACCAUCAGGUUCCACAUUAAGCAAUGCUGCUCAAUCUCUGCAAUCUAGGGCUCAGGGAAGGGGUGUAGGGCAUCCUGGGCAGAUGAAUUUUCAACUCACUCCUUCUCAUAGCCAAGUCAGCAAAGCUCCUCCAACACAAGGCCAUGCUGUUCAGCGAAGCCCUGUGCAAAGUCGUGUUCAACCCUCUUUGCAAGCUUCUGCUCAGCACUUGGGCCAACAUUCCGGAGGGGGACUGCAGUCUUCCUCUCCACCCAAAGGAUCUGUAUCAAUAAAUUCAUCUGAACCUGGAGAAAUGGAAUCUCCUCCUGAAUCAAAUAAAUCCAAGACUGCAUUGGUUGGAAAAGGAAAAGGUGGUGUUCAGGGAAGUGGAAGAGGAUCUUUUCUCUACAGUGCACCCCAGGUUAUGGGAUCUUCAGGGAAUAUGGGUGGUGGUCAUGGUGAUCAAAACUUCCCUGCUUUUUUACCAGUUAUGCAAUUUAGGGGUCAACAUCCUGGUGGCAUUGGGGUUCCUGCUGUUGGCAUGGCAUUUCCUGGAUAUGUUGCUCAGCCGCAGCUUGGGUUGGGGAAUUCUGAGAUGACAUGGCUUCCUGUUUUGGCGGGUGCGGGUGCUUUAGGUGCGGGUGCUUUAGGCGCGGGUGCUUUAGGCGCAGGUGCUCUAGGUGCGGGUGCUCUAGGUGCAGGUGCUCUAGGUGCAACGUAUUGUUCACCCUAUAUUGCUGUUGAUGGUGCUUAUCAUGCUCGAUCAUCAGGGCAGACAUCUUCUGCGGGUGCCACCAGCAAGGAAAAUACAAGCAGCAAACCCAACAAUGAAUGGAAGUCUUCACAGCGACCUGAGCUUAUGAGUGAUGAAUUUGGGCAACGGCAGAAUAAGCCUCGCAGAUAUUCUGAGAUGAAUUUUGGGCAGUGAUGUAGUAAAAUUGAGCCUAUUCAAAUAAGCAAAUGGAGGCCUUCUUCCAGGCCCUUUGUGAUCUCCAGUUUUUGUUCUGGAGCACUUUGGGCUGCAUCUUUUUCCCAGAUUCUUUGCUAUAUAUGAUGAACACCUGCUCAUGCUGUGGUAAAUUUAAGAACACCGUUGCAGCUUGACGGGUGGUAGUUCUUUGUUUAAUUGUGAGGUUUUCAUGUGGCUUGGUUUUCAGUGAAGCUUGUGAGAAGUGUGACGGGCUUCUAGAAUUACAUGUGAAAAUUAUGGACAGGAACGAAGCUAUAUUGUGCAGCAGCUGUUUGCUUAGCGGAGUAAAAAAACUUCUAUUUCCCCAGUAGGCAUCUCUCUUGGUGUUUUUUCAUUCAUUUUUGGCUGCCCUAGUGGCUUUUCAGGGUCCUUUAUGAAUGGGGUUUUAUUUGCUUUAGAUUUUCCCUCAUUGCUAAAGAUGUCGCAGGGUAGUGGUGCUGUAGUCAUCGUGUUAAUUGGUAUUUGGUAUAUACCGAGUGGGCUUUAGUGGUUGUUCUAGUGACCUUGUGUUUAGGCUUGCUGCUAUUUUUCUUUUCCUGCUUUGUGUUGGCUGUGGCUGGCAGAGGACUGCUUGAUUUGUGUUAUUUGAAAUUAUAUCAUGUAUAAAUGUUGUGUCAGCUUCUCAUGUUUCAGAAUCAAACUUAUCAGUAUUUCUACAAUUAUGACAAUAAAUAAAGCUACUUUGAUUUA